CGCGGGGCGUGUGAGUGUGUGUGUGUGAGUGUGUGUCGCUCGGUCCACGCUCGUGCACACACCCGCACGCCCGCGCC
rnacentral:pre_miRNA from 12 species